rnacentral:rRNA from 1 species
CCCCUAGAUGUUCUGGGCCGCACGCGCGCUACACUGAACAGUUCAACAAGUCUUAACCUUGGCCGAUAGGUCUGGGUAAUCUUUGAACGCUGUUCGUGAUUGGGAUAGACCUUUGCAAUUUUUGGUCUUCAACGAGGAAUUCCUAGUAAACGCAAGUCAUCAACUUGCAUUGAUUACGUCCCUGCCCUUUGUACACACCGCCCGUCGCACCUACCGAUUGAAUGGUCCGGUGAAGCCUCCGGAUUGGCGUGCACCCUCGGGUGCUGCCGAGAAGUUGGCUAAACCUUACCAUUUAGAGGAAGGUGAAGUCGUAACA